GAGGCUACUGCCAUCAGCGUUCGAUUAAGCCAUGUUAGUUAAGGGGACUUUCCUUCGGGAAGGUAACCCGGCAGACGGCUCAGUAACACGUGGACAAUUUACCCUUGGGACCGGGAUAACCCCUGGGAAACUGGGGCUAAUACUGGAUAGAGCAUCGGCUGCUGGAAUGCGCGAUGUUCGAAAGCUGAGGCGCCCAAGGAUAGGUCUGCGGCUGAUUAGGUUGUUGUUGAUGUAACGGAUCAACAAGCCCGCGAUCGGUACGGGUUGUGAGAGCAAUAGCCCGGAGAUGGGUUCUGAGAAAAGAACCCAGGUCCUACGGGACGCAUCAGGCGCGAAAACUUUACAAUGUGCGAAAGCGCGAUAAGGGAACUCUGAGUGCCUCCUAAGGAGGCUGUUCAGGUGUCUAAAAAGCAUCUGGAGUAAGGGCUGGGCAAGACCGGUGCCAGCCGCCGCGGUAACACCGGCAGCUCAAGUGGUAGCCAUGCUUAUUGGGUCUAAAGCGUCCGUAGCCGGCUGAGUAAGUUCCUUGGGAAAUUUGACCGCUUAACGGUUAAGCUAUCAGGGAAUACUGCUUGGCUUGGGACCGGGAGAGGUCAGAGGUACUCCAGGGGUAGGGGUGAAAUCUAUUAAUCCUUGGGGGACCACCGGUAGCGAAGGCGUCUGACCAGACCGGGUCCGACGGUGAGGGACGAAGGCUGGGGUCGCGAACCGGAUUAGAUACCCGGGUAGUCCCAGCUGUAAACGAUGCGGGCCAGGUGUUGGCAUUACUGCGAGUGAUGUCAGUGCCAAAGGGAAGCCGUUAAGCCCGCCAUCUGGGGAGUACGGUCGCAAGGCUGAAACUUAAAGGAAUUGGCGGGGGAGCAC
rnacentral:rRNA from 1 species